rnacentral:rRNA from 1 species
GGCUCAGAUAAGUCGUCUGGGGUGUGCGAUAAAUGGCGAACGGGUGAGUAACACGUGAGCAACCUGCCCCUGACUCUGGGAUAAGCGCUGGAAACGGCGUCUAAUACUGGAUAUGUGACGUGACCGCAUGGUCUGCGUUUGGAAAGAUUUUUCGAAAUGGGAACUUCCUCGCAGCCUAUCAGCUUGUUGGUGAGGUAAUGGCUCACCAAGGCGUCGACGGGUAGCCGGCCUGAGAGGGUGACCGGCCACACUGGGACUGAGACACGGCCCAGACUCCUACGGGAGGCAGCAGUGGGGAAUAUUGCACAAUAGGCGGAAGUCUGAUGCAGCAACGCCGCGUGAGGGAUGACGGCCUUCGGGUUGUAAACCUCUUUUAGCAGGGAAGAAGCGAAAGUGAGGUACCUGCAGAAAAAGCGCCGGCUAACUACGUGCCAGCAGCCGCGGUAAUACGUAGGGCGCAAGCGUUAUCCGGAAUUAUUGGGCGUAAAGAGCUC